UCUCCUGGAAAACGGGUGGUAAUGCCGGAUGCUCCAGUUGAUCGCAUGGUCUUCUGGGANAGCUUUCGCGGUAUGGGAUGGGGUCGCGUCCUAUCAGCUUGACGGCGGGGUAACGGCCCACCGUGGCUUCGACGGGUAGCCGGCCUGAGAGGGCGACCGGCCACAUUGGGACUGAGAUACGGCCCAGACUCCUACGGGAGGCAGCAGUGGGGAAUAUUGCACAAUGGGCGCAAGCCUGAUGCAGCGACGCCGCGUGAGGGAUGGAGGCCUUCGGGUUGUAAACCUCUUUUAUCGGGGAGCAAGCGAGAGUGAGUUUACCCGUUGAAUAAGCACCGGCUAACUACGUGCCAGCAGCCGCGGUAAUACGUAGGGUGCAAGCGUUAUCCGGAAUUAUUGGGCGUAAAGGGCUCGUAGGCGGUUCGUCGCGUCCGGUGUGAAAGUCCAUCGCUUAACGGUGGAUCCGCGCCGGGUACGGGCGGGCUUGAGUGCGGUAGGGGAGACUGGAAUUCCCGGUGUAACGGUGGAAUGUGUAGAUAUCGG
rnacentral:rRNA from 1 species